AGCAAGGUUAAGUACUUAAGGUACGGAGCCGAAGGGAAACCGAGUCUGAAUAGGGCGACUAGUUGCAUGCCGUAGACCCGAAACCGGGUGACCUAUCCAUGGCCAGGUUGAAGCGAGGGUAAAACCUCGUGGAGGACCGAACCACGUUGCUGUUGAAAAAGCAUGGGAUGAGCUGUGGAUAGCGGAGAAAUUCCAAUCGAACCCGGAGAUAGCUGGUUCUCUCCGAAAUAGCUUUAGGGCUAGCGUCGAGUAUGAGUAGUGGAGGUAGAGCACUGAAUGGGCUAGGGGGCAUAGCGCUUACCGAACCUUAUCAAACUCCGAAUGCCACAUACUUUGAGCUCGGCAGUCAGACUACGAAUGAUAAGAUCCGUGGUCAAAAGGGAAACAGCCCAGAUCGUCAGCUAAGGUCCCAAAGUGUAAGUUAAGUGGGAAAGGAUGUGAGAUUUCUAAGACAACUAGGAUGUUGGCUUAGAAGCAGCCAUUCAUUAAAAGAGUGCGUAAUAGCUCACUAGUCGAGAGAUCUUGCGCCGAAAAUGUAACGGGGCUAAACUUACC
rnacentral:rRNA from 1 species